rnacentral:rRNA from 1 species
UACGGAAGGGGCAAGCGUUGUUCGGAAUCAUUGGGCGUAAAGGGCGCGUAGGCGGUCGCGUGUGUCUGCUGUGAAAGCACACGGCUCAACCGUGUGAAGUCGGUAGAAACUGCGGGACUUGAGGCUGGGAGAGGUUGGUGGAAUUCCCUAUGUAGCGGUGAAAUGCGUAGAUAUAGGGGAGAACACUCGUGGCGAAGGCGGCCAGCUGGACCAGCCCUGACGCUGAGGCGCGACAGCCAGGGGAGCAAACGGG